rnacentral:rRNA from 1 species
AUGCCCAAACUAGCUGGUGGUCUUGGUGUCAAAAACUUGAGAGCACAAAACUUUUGCCUUAUGUUGAAAUUUGCAUUCAAAUUUUUGCAUGCUCCACUUUUCCCAUGGAAAGAUUGGAUUAUCAACCACUCUCCACUACAUGUAGGUCUAGGCAGAAAUGCUUCUUUCCUUGGGAAAGCCAUUUUUAAACACCUCUCAGCUCUUCGAGAAAUCUCACAGGUUUCCGUGGGAUCAGGCUCCUCAACAUAUUUUUGGCUAGAUCGUUGGGUUCUCCCUGAACUUUUGAGUAUUGCUUUUCCCUUCCUUUUCACCCACCACACAAAACCAAAUGCCUUUGUUGCUAAUAUUUUGAUGGAUGGGAUUGAUCUGGGUCUGCGUAGCCGGUUUACCUUAACUGCUUCCAAUGUACUUGCUUCCUUGAGACUUCUGCUGCAGGAUGUGAGACUUUCAGGGUUGCCUGACUCCAGGACGCUGCUCAAUGGCUCCUCCUUCACCACCAAAGGAGCCUAUGACACACUUGCAUCCCAGCUUGCCGACCCCAUGCUUGCAAGCAUUUGGGAUGCACGAGUGCUCAGCCGGGUGCGGGUCUUCGGCUGGCUCCUAUACCUCGACAGGCUCAACACCAGGGCCAACCUUCAUCGUAAGACUCUCCUUGAGUCUCCUUCCUGCCCUCGAUGCAGGGCUGCGCCAGAGGAUCGUGGUCAUCUCUUCUUCACCUGCCCAGCUGCCCGGGACAUCUAG